AAUGAACGUUGGCGGCGUGGAUUAGGCAUGCAAGUCGUACGGGUCGGUGUAGCAAUACAACGGCAAGUGGCGAAAGGGAGAGUAACACGUAGAUACCUACCCUCUGGUCGGGGAUACCGCGGCAUAACCGCAAGUAAUACCCGAUAAAAUCUCCGGAUCAAAGGUGUGAUUCCGCCGGAGGAGGGGUCUGCGUUCUAUCAGCUUGUUGGUGAGGUAAUGGCUCACCAAGGCUAAGACGGAUACGGGGUGUGAGAGCAUGCCCCCGCUCACUGGGACUGAGACACUGCCCAGACACCUACGGGUGGCUGCAGUCGAGAAUCUUCGGCAAUGGGCGCAAGCCUGACCGAGCGACGCCGCGUGCGGGAUGAAGGCCUUCGGGUUGUAAACCGCUGUCGAGGGGAAUGAAGUGUAGGUGGGUACUCCCAUCUAUUUGACAGAUCCCUGGAGGAAGCAUGGGCUAAGUUCGUGCCAGCAGCCGCAGUAAUAC
rnacentral:rRNA from 1 species